GCUCCCCGGGGCGCACCGGCUCACCGGGGCUCACAGAGCUGUUCCAGAGCGCAUGGCGCAGGACUGCGUCCCCAUGUCUCUGGGAUAUCUCGGCUGAGGGACACUCCGCGCCCUCCCCGGGCAGUCUGUUCCAGAAAGGAGCUCUUCCCCGUGCUCCGGUGGAAUUUCCUGUGCCUUCCCGUGUUCUCUCGCCCAUCCAGAAGGAUGGGGCGCCUCUCCUGAGGGGCUGGGACAAAAGGAUUGGGUUGUUCAGCCUGGAAAUGAGAAGCCUUGGGGUGACCCAGUUGUGGCCUUGCAGUACUUGAAGGGACCUUACUGGGAAGAUGAGGCAAGGCUAUUUACACAGCAUGUAGUGACUGCAUGAGGGGGAUGGGUUCAGAUGGAAAGAGCAGGUUUAGAUCAGAUAUUAAGGGAAAAAAGCAAACCAGAAGAAGGUGGUGAGGCCCUGGCACAGGUUGGCCAGAGAAGCUGUGGUUGCCCAUCCCAUCAGGUGUCCAAGGCCAGGUUGGAGCAACCUGGGAUAGCAAAGGUGUCCCUGCCAUGACAGGAGUGGAACAAGAUGAUCAUCGAGGUCACCUCCUAACCCAAACCAUUCCAUGCUUCCAUUGCUUGGCACCACCAAGAAGACCCUGGUAUCAUCUUCUUGGCACCCCUUUAGAUGAUGUUGACCUGAAAUUGACACUUGCAAGCUGCAUCUGCUCCCCAGUAAUGGGGCUGGAGAAGAGCCAGUCCUCAGUGACUGUUCCCCCUCCUACAGGGCUGGUGUUGGGCUCUCAGCUUCUCACCCUGCCCACAGAUCUGCUCCAGGCUGGCACAGACUUCAGCUUCAAUAUCUUCAGUCCACAGCCCCUGACCAGCACUCUUCUCCACAAAUGUUCACCACCCAGCAGUUCUGAGACCUGUUGGUCAGAUCUGUUUCCUUUAGAACCAGGUGAAUUUCUCUGCAUCACUGAAGUAGUUGCUUCUAAAAAUAAAUGGUGUGAUAAUUUGUAAAUUACAUGCUCAGUACUGCAAAAUUCCCCGUGGAGGUCUGAAAAUAAAACUUAAGCAAUAUGUUUUGCUUUGUUUUUCAAACAAACAAGGCUUUAAAGAAAACAUCCUCUAUGGAGACAAUUAAGACCCAGUGACACCUUAAUUGCUUCUCUUGAGAAUGAGCACUAAGAAUACACACAGAGCAUUGUGCUGUGUAAGGAUACCCAGGCUAGCAAGGUCUCAAAAUCGAUACAACUGCAUUAGUGAGGCUCAGAGCCCUGGAUAAUUCAUCCUGCAGAGAAAAACUGCACUGACAGGGCCAUACUGCCUUUGGUAGUACUAGUUCUCUCAGAACUAUUUCAUGAACCUGUUCAGCACUGCACUCUAUUUUCAGAUGUCUCAGCGGUUUUUGUUUAUUUGGAGUCUUUUUCACACCAGCCCUUUCAGGAAA